rnacentral:snRNA from 1 species
GCCUCACUUGGGACAUAUACUAAAAUCGGGACGAUACAGAGAAGAUUAGCAUGGCCUCUGGGCAAGGGUGACACGCAAAUUUGCGAAGAGGUUGCUUCACUG